UACGUAGGGGGCAAGCGUUGUCCGGAAUCAUUGGGCGUAAAGAGCGCGUAGGCGGUCCGGUAAGUCCGCUCUGAAAGUCGGGGGCUCAACCCCUGAUCGGCCGUGCGAACUGGGGGGCUGGAGCACUGUAGAGGCAGGCGGAAUUCCGGGUGUAGCGGUGGAAUGCGUAGAGAUCCGGAAGAACACCGGUGGCGAAGGCGGCCUGCUGGGCAGUGGCUGACGCUGAGGCGCGACAGCGUGGGGAGCAAACAGG
rnacentral:rRNA from 1 species